rnacentral:rRNA from 1 species
CGGGAUCCAGCUUCUGACGCAGGAGAGGGAGCCUGAGAAAUGGCUACUACAUCUAAGGACGGCAGCAGGCGCGAAAAUUACCCAAUCUCAAUUCGAGGAGGUAGUGACAAGAAAUAACAACUUUACACCAUUUGGUGGAAAGGUACUAUCUAAUAGUUUGGAAUGGUUUUAGAUUAAAUUCUAUUAGAGUAACGACUAGAGGAAAAGUCUGGUGCCAGCACCCGCGGUAAUUCCAGCUCUAGUAGCGUAUAUUAAUACUGUUGUAGUUAAAACGCUCGUAGUUGACCUAAGGACUAUGAGUUUGGAUUCGGUACUAGUCCGUUCUCAUGUUGCUCCGUGUUAUAACGGGGUUGCGGGGGAUGUGACUGGUGCCCUCGGCAUCUGUGCCCAUGGAUUUCAUUCAUGGGUGUUCAGGUGUGGGUCCUUACUUGUAGUCCGAUCCUUGCCAACGGUUCGCCGUUGGUAAAGGCCUUAUUGGUACAACUGUAAACAAAUCAGAGUGCUCAAAGCAGGCAUUGUUAAUGGGGAUUUAUCCUCAACUUUGCUUGAAUGAUUUAGCAUGGGAUUGUCUUGGAGCCGUGAAUAAUGCCCAUUCGGUCUCCGGGUGGGUUAUUGUUCACUGGCGCUUGUAAUGUGAAGCAGGGAGAUGUGCGUCAGAAGCUGGAUCCCGA